rnacentral:rRNA from 1 species
GAUGAACGCUGGCGGCGUGCCUAAUACAUGCAAGUCGAGCGAACAGACGAGGAGCUUGCUCCUCUGACGUUAGCGGCGGACGGGUGAGUAACACGUGGAUAACCUACCUAUAAGACUGGGAUAACUUCGGGAAACCGGAGCUAAUACCGGAUAAUAUAUUGAACCGCAUGGUUCAAUAGUGAAAGACGGUUUUGCUGUCACUUAUAGAUGGAUCCGCGCCGCAUUAGCUAGUUGGUAAGGUAACGGCUUACCAAGGCAACGAUGCGUAGCCGACCUGAGAGGGUGAUCGGCCACACGGGAACUGAGACAGGGUCCAGACUCCUACGGGAGGCAGCAGUAGGGAAUCUUCCGCAAUGGGCGAAAGCCUGACGGAGCAACGCCGCGUGAGUGAUGAAGGUCUUCGGAUCGUAAAACUCUGUUAUUGGGGAAGAACAGAUGUGUAAGUAAAUAUGCACGUCUUGACGGUACCUAAUCAGAAAGCCACGGCUAACUACGUG